AUGGCGGUGGAGGUGGUUCCCUCCCGCUCGGCGUCGGUGUUGCUGCUCCCGUCAUGAGCUGUUUGGUUUGGAUGCGCAUGCAUCUGGAUGAGCUCUCGCGACUCAACUGGCGACGCUGGCGGCGCGGUCGACGCGGUCGCUCCCAGCUCGCCGGCCCCCCGCUCCACCACCUCCUCCGCUGCCGUCACUCCGGAUGGUGGCGGCCACCCACUAGACGACCCCGGUGAGCCGCCAACCUUUCCUUGCAGUGGCGGCGGCGAGGACCUGGCCCCAAGCACGCAUGUCAGCAGAACCAUCCUCGUCCUGCGCCCAGGUGAGGCCUUCCAAUCCAGAAUCCUUCGCCAGUUCUACUCCGGAACGACGUUCGAUCCUCUCGAGUUCCCCUCCUGCCGUGUCCCCGGCGAUCUCUGGUUCACCCCGCCGUUCCUCUCAUCGUGUUUCUCCGCCGCCUGCGUUCGCUCCCUAGUUAACUACUUUUUCUGCGCCCCUCCCGGAGAGAUUGUGGUGUCCGAGGCCUCUCCGGUCGUCUUCCAUGCGCAGCUGGCCAGCUCGGUCGUGGCCCGUUUCAUCGCCGCCGUUGGGGUGGGGCAGUUGGCCUCCUUCAAGCUUCAGCCACAUCUCUCCCUCGGGGAUGCAUUGGCUGCAGCCGCUACCCUCCAGCCCGUCAUCUCUGGCCGGCGUACGGCGCCUCGGUCUCCCCAAGCCUCCCCGCCUCGGUUCCGCAUCAUAGGCAACUCGCCGAACGGCUCGGUCGCCUCCAUGCCUGCCUCCCCUAGCAGCGGGCGCCGCACCCCUCCAUCGCUGGUGCACCUUCCCCUGGCCCUUGGCCUUCGGCGCCGUGCUGCUUCUGACGAGUCCGAUGAGAUGGGCUCGGACGCCUCUACUGUCUCCGGUGAGCAGCCCGAUUUCGACAGUGCUGGCGGCCUGAUGCACCGCUCCCCAUCGGGCUCUAAGGCCAGCUCCAGCGCUAGCGCUCCGUCCCUGGUGGCGGAAUCCGAGCGGCCGCACUACCUUGAGGUCUUCAUGCCCACGGGCGACCUCACGGUGGCUCACCGGCUGGCUGUGGUGACCCCUCCGGACCGCGAGACGUGCGUCGCGCUGCGGGAGCUGCCUUUUGAGGGCGCUCUCAUCAUCUUCACCCAAGAAGAGGAGGCUGACCAGGUGCCACCAAGGGCCAGAACCCACGCCUUCAUAUCUACCACCAGAUUCCCCACCGAGCACAUCAACCCCGUCGGCAUUGCUCGCGCCUUUUCAGGCUUUGGUGACUUGGUCGAGAUUGACCACAGGGUGCUCUCCGGUACCGAUCUCUCUGCCGUUCGGGUCGUCCUCCUCCUUGAGCAUGCCAGGGAGGUCCAAUGUGACGUGUGGCCGCGCGGCGGGUUCUGGGGCUCCCGCGUCGUCACUUUCAGUACGCUUGCUGUUUGGCUGCAAGCGGACUCCUACGGCGACGAUGACGUCUACAUCCCCUUCUUCGGCCCGCCACCGCCUCCGCCGGAUGGUGGGUCGGGCCCCUUCAACGCCAGCGUGCUUGCCGUGCUUGCGGGUACUGGGUCGUCCCCGGCACCCGUUAUGCAUGCGCCAUGCAACGUGGUGCCCGACGUCGCUGCCCCUGCUCCUGCCGUCCCGGGCGUGCGCCAUAGCCGUCGCCUGGCCCUCAAGGAGCCUGCCGCGUAUGUCUCCAUGACUGCCAAAGCUAUCAAGCAGAGGGAACUCAAAGACUCCCUCAAAGGCUGCUCAACGGCUCUCCAAGCCAAAGUUCUCAAACACAAAGUGAUCGCCGCCAUCCUCAAGCCUCUGGGAAUGAACUCUGUGUUCGAGCUUAGGGCCGCGGCGGCCAUCCCAUCUGCUCCGGUGUCGGCAGGUGUCGAUGAUUAG
rnacentral:rRNA from 1 species